AUGAAAGACCUUGGUGUGGCUGAUGUUAUCUUGAACAUCAAGCUACUGAGAGAUAAUGAGGGUGGGAUCACACUUCUGCAAUCCCAUUACGUUGAGAAGGUGUUGAGUCGUUUUGGAUAUUCGGACUGCACACCAUCUCAAACACCAUAUGAUCCUAGUGUAUUGAUUCGAAAGUCCAAAGGCAUGGCUAAAGAUCAAUUGAGAUACUCUCAAAUCAUUGGUUCACUGAUGUACCUAGCGAGCGCAACGAGGCCUGACAUCGCGUUUGCUGUGAAGGCCACAACUGGGUAUAUGUUUACUCUUGGAGGUGGCGCUGUUUCCUGGAAGUCUUGCAAGCAAACGAUCUUAACGAGAUCGACAAUGGAAGCAGAAUUAACGGCAUUAGACACAUCUGGUGUUGAAGCGAGAUGGCUUCGAGAUCUUUUGAUGGACUUGCCAUUGGUUGAUAAACCGGUUCCGGCUAUCCUUAUGAACUGUGACAAUCAGACUAGCGAUCUUUGGAGGAACACACCUAUAUGA
rnacentral:rRNA from 1 species